CUGGCGGCGCACAUAAGACAUGCAAGUCGAACGGAAGUCGUAAUAAAAAUAGAACGAAGAUUUAUCAGAGUGAAGUUUUAUUACAAUGGCUUAGUGGCGGACUGGUGAGUAAUGUAUAAGUAACCUGCCUAUCAGAGGGGAACAACAGUUGGAAACGACUGCUAAUACCGCAUAUGCCAUAAUGGAGACAUCUUCAUAGUGGGAGAGGAGCAAUCCGCUGAUAGAUGGACUUAUAUCUGAUUAGCUAGUUGGUGGGGUAACGGCCUACCAAGGCGACGAUCAGUAGCCGAACUGAGAGGUUAAACGGCCACAUUGGGACUGAGAUACGGCCCAGACUCCUACGGGAGGCAGCAGUCGGGAAUAUUGCGCAAUGGAGGAAACUCUGACGCCAGUGACGCCGCGUGCAGGAAGAAGGUUUUCGGAUUGUAAACUGCUUUAGACAGGGAAGAAAAAAGACAGUACCUGUAGAAUAAGCUCCGGCUAACUACGUGCCAGCAGCAGC
rnacentral:rRNA from 1 species